GAUGAAGAACGCAGCGAAAUGCGAUACUUGGUGUGAAUUGCAGAAUCCCGUGAACCAUCGAGUCUUUGUACGCAAGUUGCGCCUCAAGCCAUUAGGUUGAGGGCACGUCUGCCUGGGCGUCACAUAUCGUUGCCUGAUGCCAGUUUCCUCGUGAUGGGUGACUGUGCAGGGCGAAUGAUGGCUUCCCGUGAGCAUUGUUGCCUCAUGGUUGGUUGAAAAUUGAGUCCUUGGUAGGGAGCGCCGUGAUAGAUGGUGGUUGAGUGACGAACGAGACCCAAUCAUGUGAGACCCCUACCGAAUUUGGCCUUCAUGACGCACAUGCGUCUUUGGAACGCUCAUGACGAGACCUCAGGUCAGGCGGGGCUACCCGCUGAGUUUAAGCAUAUCAAUAAGCGGAGGA
rnacentral:misc_RNA from 1 species